UUUUAGCCCCAAUAGAGCCGAUAUCCUAUUUUUUUGGCUUUUUCGACGCUGCGAUUGGGGCCAAAAAAUAGAUAAAGGCGAAAGCGGGAAUAGCU
rnacentral:misc_RNA from 1 species